rnacentral:rRNA from 1 species
UACGUAGGAGGCAAGCGUUUGUCCGGAAUCACUGGGCGUAAAGCGCGUGUAGGUGGAAGAGGAAGUCUGCUGUGAAAGCGCCUGGCUUAACCGGGCGAGGUCGGUGGAAACUCCUCAUCUCGAGGGCGGUAGAGGGGGGUGGAAUUCCGGGUGUAGUGGUGAAAUGCGUAGAGAUCCGGAGAACACCUGUGGCGAAGGCGGCCCCCUGGGCCGCACCUGACGCUGAGACGCGAAAGCGCGGGGAGCGAACGGG